CCAGACUCCUACGGGAGGCAGCAGUGGGGAAUAUUGCACAAUGGGGGAAACCCUGAUGCAGCGACGCCGCGUGAGUGAAGAAGUAUCUCGGUAUGUAAAGCUCUAUCAGCAGGGAAGAAAAUGACGGUACCUGACUAAGAAGUCCCGGCUAACUACGUGCCAGCAGCCGCGGUAAUACGUAGGGGGCAAGCGUUAUCCGGAUUUACUGGGUGUAAAGGGAGCGUAGACGGCGCUGCAAGUCCGGAGUGAAAGCCCAUGGCUUAACCAUGGUACUGCUCUGGAAACUGUGGAGCUUGAGUGCGGGAGGGGCAGGCGGAAUUCCUAGUGUAGCGGUGAAAUGCUUAGAUAUCACGAAGAACCCCGAUUGCGAAGGCAGCCUGCCGCAGCGUUACUGACGCUGAAGCUCGAAAGCGCGGGUAUCGAACAGGAUUAGAUACCCUAGUA
rnacentral:rRNA from 1 species